rnacentral:rRNA from 1 species
UGAAACACGGACCAAGGAGUUUAGCGUAUACGCGAGCCAUUGGGUGUUAAAACUCACAGGCAUAAUGAAAGUGAAGGCCCAGCCGCUGGGCUGACAUGCGAGUUGGCGGCCCCCGGGCCGUCGAUGCAGCAUGGUCCCGUUCCGAUCGCUUGCGAUGGAGCGGAGACAGAGCGUAUGCGCUGAGACCCGAAAGAUGGUGAACUAUUCCUGAGCAGGAUGAAGCCAGAGGAAACUCUGGUGGAAGUCCGAAGCGAUUCUGACGUGCAAAUCGAUCGUCUGACUUGGGUAUAGGGGCGAAAGACUAAUCGAACCAUCUAGUAGCUGGUUCCCUUCGAAGUUUCCCCCAGGAUAGCUGGAGCGAUCAUGUGUGCAGUUACACUCGGUAAAGCGAACGAUAGAGGACUUGGGGACGAAAUGUCCUUAACCUAUUCUCAAACUCUAAAUGGGUGUGAGGCUGGUGUUGCUUGACUCUUGAACACUGGCGUUGAAUGCACGCUCCAAGUGGGCCAUUUUUGGUAAGCA